rnacentral:rRNA from 1 species
GACGAACGCUGGCGGCGUGCUUAACACAUGCAAGUCGUACGGUAAGGCCCUUUCGGGGGUACACGAGUGGCGAACGGGUGAGUAACACGUGAGUAACCUGCCCACAACUUUGGGAUAAUGCUAGGAAACUGGUGCUAAUACUGGAUAUGUGCUCCUGCUGCAUGGUGGGGGUUGGAAAGCUCCGGCGGUUGUGGAUGGACUCGCGGCCUAUCAGCUUGUUGGUGGGGUAGUGGCCUACCAAGGCGGCGACGGGUAGCCGGCCUGAGAGGGUGACCGGCCACAUUGGGACUGAGAUACGGCCCAGACUCCUACGGGAGGCAGCAGUGGGGAAUAUUGCACAAUGGGCGCAAGCCUGAUGCAGCAACGCCGCGUGCGGGAGGACGGCCUUCGGGUUGUAAACCGCUUUCAGCAGGGACGAAGCUUUUUGUGACGGUACCUGCAGAAGAAGCACCGGCUAACUACGUG